rnacentral:rRNA from 1 species
CCUACGGGGGGCAGCAGUGGGGAAUAUUGGACAAUGGGGGAAACCCUGAUCCAGCAAUGCCGCGUGUGUGAAGAAGGCCUGCGGGUUGUAAAGCACUUUCGGUUGGGAAGAAAAGUUUGGCGCCAAUACCGCCGAACCUUGACGUUACUGACAGAAGAAGCACCGGCUAACUCUGUGCCGGCAGCCGCGGUCCUACAGAGGGUGCAAGUGUUCAUCGGAAGUACUGGGCGUAACAUGUGAGUCGGUGGUGAAAUCCCCGGGCUUAACCUGGGAACUGCAUUCGAUACUACAAGGCUAGAGUAUGGUAGAGGGAAGUGGAAUUUCCGGUGUAGCGGUGAAAUGCGUAGAUAUCGGAAGGAACACCAAUGGCGAAGGCAGCUUCCUGGACUAAUACUGACACUGAGGCACGAAAGCGUGGGUAGCAAACAGGAUUAGAUACCCUAGUAGUC